UCCCUGGUGAUCCAGUGGUUAAGAUUCUGCACUUCCAAUGCAGGGGAUGAAGGUUCAAUCCCUGGUUGGGGAA
rnacentral:tRNA from 1 species